rnacentral:rRNA from 1 species
UGGGGAAUAUUGCACAAUGGGGGAAACCCUGAUGCAGCGACGCCGCGUGAAGGAAGAAGUAUCUCGGUAUGUAAACUUCUUUUGUCAAGGACGAAGAAAGUGACGGUACUUGACGAAUAAGCCACGGCUAACUACGUGCCAGCAGCCGCGGUAAUACGUAGGUGGCAAGCGUUGUCCGGAUUUACUGGGUGUAAAGGGCGCGUAGACGGAACAGCAAGUCUGAUGUGAAAGGCAUGGGCUCAACCUGUGGACUGCAUUGGAAACUGUUGGUCUUGAGUACCGGAGGGGUAAGCGGAAUUCCUAGUGUAGCGGUGAAAUGCGUAGAUAUUAGGAGGAACACCAGUGGCGAAGGCGGCUUACUGGACGGUAACUGACGUUGAGGCUCGAAAGCGUGGGGAGCAAACAGGAUUAGAUACC